rnacentral:rRNA from 1 species
UACGUAGGGUGCGAGCGUUGUCCGGAAUUACUGGGCGUAAAGAGCUCGUAGGCGGUUCGUCGCGUCGGCUGUGAAAACCCGGAGCUCAACUCCGGGCCUGCAGUCGAUACGGGCGGACUCGAGUUCGGCAGGGGAGACUGGAAUUCCUGGUGUAGCGGUGAAAUGCGCAGAUAUCAGGAGGAACACCGGUGGCGAAAGCGGCUUCCUGGUCCGACACCGACGUUCAGGCACGAAAGCGUGGGGAGCAAACAGG